UGACCGCUGGCGGCAUGCUUUCCACAUGCACGUCGCCCGGCAGCGCGGGCUUCGGCCUGGCGGCGAGUGGCGAACGGGUGAGUAAUACAUCGGAACGUGCCCAGUAGUGGGGGAUAGCUCGGCGAAAGCCGGAUUAAUACCGCAUACGACCUGAGGGUGAAAGCGGGGGAUCUUCGGACCUCGCGCUAUUGGAGCGGCCGAUGGCAGAUUAGCUAGUUGGUGGGGUAAAGGCCUACCAAGGCGACGAUCUGUAGCUGGUCUGAGAGGACGACCAGCCACACUGGGACUGAGACACGGCCCAGACUCCUACGGGAGGCAGCAGUGGGGAAUUUUGGACAAUGGGCGAAAGCCUGAUCCAGCAAUGCCGCGUGUGUGAUGAAGGCCUUCGGGUUGUAAAGCACUUUUGGCGGGAACGAAAAGGACUGUGCCAAUACCACGGUUCGAUGACGGUACCCGCAGAAUAAGCACCGGCUAACUACGUG
rnacentral:rRNA from 1 species